AGCAGCAGCAGCUGUUGUUGUUGUUGUUGUUGUUCCCACUGCAGAGGGAAAGCUACAGCCACAUCAUUUCUUCUUCAUAUCUAGCUAAUGCUAGUCAUUAGGGGUGAAAAACUAAAAUCCUUAUCGUUUCUGGUGUCCACCAUUUAAUAUUCAUCUUAAAAACCCGGACAUAGUAACUGAGUCAAAGAGGUAAGGGCAGAGAUGUCGUACUACUCAUCUUCCUCAUCCCGCAGUUCCUCCAGAAACCUGGAGUGUAAGGUGUAUGUUGGAGAUCUGGGAGAAGGAGCUGCUAAGGGAGAAAUUGAAAGGGCUUUUGAGUACUACGGCCCUUUGCGCAGCGUUUGGGUGGCCAGAAACCCUCCUGGUUUUGCAUUUGUGGAAUUUGAAGAUGCUCGAGAUGCAGAGGAUGCAGUGAAAGGAAUGGAUGAAAAGCUACUGUGCGGAUCUCGGAUUCGUGUGGAGCUUUCCACUGGCAUGUCGAGGAAGAGCCGAUAUGGCCGAGCCAGUCGCCGCCCGUUUGACCCAAAUGAUAGAUGCUAUCAGUGUGGUGACAGAGGACACUAUGCCUAUGACUGCUAUCGCUUCAGCAAGCGAGGACGUCGAAGCAGAUCUCGGUCUCGCUCUCGCUCCAGGUCGAGGAGUCGCCGCCACCGCUCAAGAUCCCGAAGCCGCAGCAAUAACCGGAAGCACCGAUCUCCAUCUUACGGAAAGCGCAGGAGCAGGUCUGGCACUCCAGCUCGCUCAAAAUCUAGGACUCCUGUUCGGAGUCGCUCUUGGUCUCGCUCUCGAUCUGGAUCUGCCUCGCGCUCUCGCUCCAGAUCCAGGUCCCGCUCUCGCAGCCUGAAGAGACGCAGAUCCAGUUGAUUAGCUACAAAGAGUGAACGAGAUCACCCGCCAAAAAAAAGAAAGCAAGCACAAAUCUGUCUCGAUCAGACUCCGGUGACCAAUUGCUGCAGGCUGUUCUGUUUUCUUAAAGAGUGUGGGAGUGGAUGGCAGUGACCAGGGCUCGUCCUUGCCAUGUUAAACGUCCUCCGGGAGGGUGACAAAAGAGCUUACCUGAGAUCAGCCUCCUGCCGCGCUGCUUUAAAGAGAUCGUCCAAGGGCAUCCUGUGCGUACUCAAACAGUUGUUCCACCCUCCCCACUCCCAUCCCAUCCUAUGCACUACUACUGCAGACCAGAAAUGCUGGGCUGAGAGUUUUGGGCUCCCCCUUUCUUUUUUUUUCCUUCAAAGCUCUGGCUUCAUGCUUAGCUUCUGAGAAGGGUGUGUGAGAGAAAGAGAGAGACGAGAGAUCAGUCUUCAAGACUUCUGCGCGUGUGUCUUCGAGUUCUAGCAUCCGUCGCUUCUCUGUAUGUUGUUUCCGCCACUGUCUGCAAAGCCAUUCCAGGUCCCCCAGCCUGAAAAAAAGCCCCACAUCACCAGAUGAAGUUCGAGUGGAGAAGAAACCCUAAA